rnacentral:misc_RNA from 1 species
UGGGCUUGACAUCUUAGAGAAAUCCUCGUGAAAGCGGGGACCUCCUUCGGGACUCUAGGACAGGUGCUGCAUGGCUGUCGUCAGCUCGUGUCGUGAGAUGUUGGGUUAAGUCCCGCAACGAGCGCAACCCUUAUCCUCUGUUGCCAGCGAGUAAAGUCGGGGACUCUGAGGAGACUGCCGGUGACAAACCGGAGGAAGGUGGGGAUGACGUACUUGCUAGGUAA